rnacentral:lncRNA from 1 species
CAGCUCAAGAAAAUAAGGUUCCUCCGAGUGAGGGGCCCACCUGAUCAGCCAGGCGGCAUCGGGACUGCGGAGCCCCAGGCAGCCACGCUGGUCUGGGGCACAUUUCCAAGCCAGAUGGCCUGUUUCCCGUCCUGCUCCCCAGCGCAUGCUUGGCCCCUCUGGUAACAGGUUUGACCCGAUGGCCGCGGCUGGGACAGGAUCGGGGGCGCCUGCCCAAACAGCACACGCAGCAGCACACCUGAGCCUUGGAGGCAGAAGAAACCAGGAGAGGGAGUGGCGGGCCACAGAAAAAGGGGGGAUACACGCUCUCGGCCCGUCUCGCGGGCCUUCUCAGAGCCUUCAUCCCCUGCAGUGCACUGUUCUCCCAAGGGAGUGCCGCCUGGCACGGGGGAUCCCAGCCUGAUUUGCACCCGGAAACCCUGCUGCAGGAGUGUCUCAUGAAGCCAGUGCCGCACAGAACUGGGAGCUGUGGCUCGUGCAAAAGGCAUGGCUGGGACCCCAACGGGCACCCCGGCUGGCACCCUCCCUCUGCACCCUACGGAAGGCUUCUCCUGAGCUUCCGCUUCACAGUGAGAUGGGGCCUCGUCCCCGGCAGUGCCAGGGCUGGCCUGCCCGGCCCAGUUCGGCAGCUCAGCUAUGGGAGGCGGAGGCUUGGGGGAGGUGAGCGGAGGCUGCCAGGUGGAUGCCAGCCCCUUGCCACCUGCAGCGGAAUCGCGGGUGGGGGGUCACGGUGGCUCCCCUGCAGAGCUUCCCCGGGAUGUCCCAAGGCCACCGUCAGGUCAGCCAGCGGCUCACUCGGGCGGCUGUGGAUGCCAGAGCCUGGGCAGGAGGAAGCUGGAAGCUGCGACACCCCAUUUUAAGGGGCCACCCAUUAAUUAAUUAGGCCCCAUGAAUAAUGCAUGCUGCCGUGGGUAUAUUAAUAGCAUAUUUAUACGGCAUGCUAUGGGUAGUAUACGUUCUCAUCCGAACACCUCACGAAUAAUUCACGACCCGCUCCUCCCCCGGGCUCCGGGGAACCUGGCCGGUGCUUCGGCGGGAGCUCGUGGGUUGCUUCCAGCAGCCAAAUUUUACAUUUCAUUAUAAAUGGCUUUGCUGGGCAUGGCGGUAACUUUUAUAUUUCCAUCCACUUUAUUAUUAAUGGCUUUCCUGAACUGCAGCGGCCCGACGUCGCACACAAUGCGUUAUGAAUAUUUGAUCUGGCAUCUAUAGUCUGCCAUUUAUCAUUUAUAACGGGUUACAAAACAUUAUAAAACAUUUACCGCACAUUUAUAGAUCAUUUCCAGCUACCACAACGAUGUGUUAUAAAUCCAUUAUUAAUCGUCCUCACGCCAUUUAUAGGAACCCCUUGUAAUGGGGCCUGGCCCUCCCGUCCCGUUAACACCGCGGGGGCUGGUGGGGGCGCCAGGGCGGACGGAAGGCCGGCCCUGCCUCCCAUGGCUGUGUGUCCUUGGCCAGAUCACAGCACCUCUCUGUUCAUAAAGCAGGUCAGACG